rnacentral:rRNA from 1 species
GGUGAACGCUGGCGGCGUGCCUAAUACAUGCAAGUCGAGCGAACAGACGAGGAGCUUGCUCCUCUGACGUUAGCGGCGGACGGGUGAGUAACACGUGGAUAACCUACCUAUAAGACUUGGAUAACUUCGGGAAACCGGAGCUAAUACCGGAGAAUAUAUUUAACCGCAUGGUUCAAUAGUGAAAGACGGUUUUGCUGUCACUUAGAGAUGGAUUCGCGCCGCAUUAGCUAGUUGGUAAGGUAACGGCUUACCAAGGCAACGAUGCGUAGCCGACCUGAGAGGGUGAUCGGACACACUGGAACUGAGACACGGUCCAGACUCCUACGGGAGGCAGCAGUAGGGAAUCUUCCGCAAUGGGCGAAAGCUUGACGGAGCAACGCCGCGUGAGUGAUGAAGGUCUUCGGAUCGUAAAACUCUGUUAUUAGGGAAGAACAACUGUGUAAGUAACUAUGCACGUCUUGACGGUACCUAAUGAGAAAGCCACGGCUAACUACGUG